GAUGAACGCUAGCUACAGGCUUAACACAUGCAAGUCGCAGGGUAACAUGAGGAAAGCUUGCUUUCCUUGAUGACGACUGGCGCACGGGUGAGUAACGCGUAUCCAACCUUCCCAUAACUACGGGAUAACCCGUUGAAAGACGGCCUAAUACCGUAUGAUAUCGUUUGCUGACAUCAAAUAACGAUUAAAGGUUUAGCGGUUAUGGAUGGGGAUGCGUCUGAUUAGCUUGUUGGCGGGGUAACGGCCCACCAAGGCGACGAUCAGUAGGGGUUCUGAGAGGAAGGUCCCCCACAUUGGAACUGAGACACGGUCCAAACUCCUACGGGAGGCAGCAGUGAGGAAUAUUGGUCAAUGGGCGAGAGCCUGAACCAGCCAAGUAGCGUGCAGGACGACGGCCCUAUGGGUUGUAAACUGCUUUUAGGUGGGGAUAAAGUGCGUGACGUGUCAUGCAUUGCAGGUACCACAUGAAUAAGAACCGGCUAAUUCCGUG
rnacentral:rRNA from 1 species